UACGUAGGGCGCAAGCGUUGUCCGGAAUUAUUGGGCGUAAAGAGCUCGUAGGCGGCUUGUCGCGUCGGUUGUGAAAGCCCGGGGCUUAACCCCGGGUCUGCAGUCGAUACGGGCAGGCUAGAGUUCGGUAGGGGAGAUCGGAAUUCCUGGUGUAGCGGUGAAAUGCGCAGAUAUCAGGAGGAACACCGAUGGCGAAGGCAGAUCUCUGGGCCGUAACUGACGCUGAGGAGCGAAAGCAUGGGGAGCGAACAGG
rnacentral:rRNA from 1 species